rnacentral:rRNA from 1 species
UGGGGAAUAUUGGACAAUGGGGGGAACCCUGAUCCAGCCAUGCCGCGUGUGUGAAGAAGGCCUUAUGGUUGUAAAGCACUUUAAGCGAGGAGGAGGGUACUGGUAUUAAUACUACCAGGUACUGGACGUUACUCGCAGAAUAAGCACCGGCUAACUCUGUGCCAGCAGCCGCGGUAAUACAGAGGGUGCGAGCGUUAAUCGGAUUUACUGGGCGUAAAGCGUGCGUAGGCGGCUAAUUGAGUCGGAUGUGAAAUCCCCGAGCUUAACUUGGGAAUUGCAUUCGAUACUGGUUAGCUAGAGUGUGGGAGAGGAUGGUAGAACUCCAGGUGUAGCGGUGAAAUGCGUAGAGAUCUGGAGGAAUACCGAUGGCGAAGGCAGCCAUCUGGCCUAACACUGACGCUGAGGUACGAAAGCAUGGGGAGCAAACAGG